rnacentral:rRNA from 1 species
CGAAGGGGCGUAGCGUUGCUCGGAAUUACUGGGCGUAAAGGGAGCGUAGGCGGACAUUUAAGUCAGGGGUGAAAUACCCGGGGCGUCAACCUCGGAAUUGCCUUUGAUACUGGGUGUCUUGAGUAUGAGAGAGGUGUGUGGAACUCCGAGUGUAGAGGUGAAAUUCGUAGAUAUUCGGAAGAACACCAGUGGCGAAGGCGACACACUGGCUCAUUACUGACGCUGAGGCUCGAAAGCGUGGGGAGCAAACAGGAUU